rnacentral:lncRNA from 10 species
CUGAUCUACUGAUCAUAGUUUUCCAGGGAAGAGUAAAUAUGAAGAGAGUGAGAGUGGGACACAGAGGGCAGAGGAGAAAGAGGAGAGAGCUGUUAUCUGUGAGUGAAGGCAGAUAUCUAUGUGCAUUAUCCAAUGUUCCUAGGACUGUGCAGUCAAAAUUCAUGUGAAAGCAUGUUCGAAGGAUUCAAAAGGCUCGGUGGCUGGACAGAGUCAGGAAGACUCUAAGGCUGGAGUGCAGGCGCGAUCUGGGCUCACUGCAGCCUCCACCCCCUGGCUCAAGCCUCCCACCCCAGCCUCCCAAGUAGCUGGGAUUACAGAGAACUCCUGGGCUCAAGCAAUCCUCCUGCCUCGAUCAUUUGUUUUUAAAUGAGCCUGUAUUGCCUGUAAUUUUCAAGACGGUAUAGAGCUUACAGAAAAAGUAUGAAAAGUGCAAGUGUUUUUUUAGAUAGCAACUAUUGCUUAGCACUCAACAUAUUUCCUUUAUCCGUCUUCCCUUCCCCCUUCCUUUCCUCCUUCCUCCUCCCUCCCUUUCUUCCUUUUUUCAAAUUAACCUUUAGGCCAGUUGCUUAGGCCAGUUGCUGAUACUUGGCUGUGGUGUUUGCAUAGCUAGCUUGCCCUGAUGUAACUGUACAUGUAAUCAGCGUCUGCCACUUUGAUGGAAGUUUCCUAGUUUAGAAACACCUGUCUCUGGAUUAUAAUGAAACAACACAGAGGCUAAAUAAUAAAACCUCAGGGAAUCAAGACAUGUAAAGCCCAGAAUUUUAAAUAAAUAAGGUUUAUGGAACACUAAAAACAAAUAUAUUGGACUUUCCAUGGAGAAUACUUUAUCGUUGGUUAUACUGAAGAUAAAUGUUAACAACACAAAUAACAUGCAAAUACACACUCUUAGUAUCCAAACAUUGAUUUUAUUUGGCUUGCAGCAUUGAUGUUGUAAUGCUAGCAUUCACUGACAUUUAAUUUGUGGUAUAAUAUUGUCCCAACUGCUGCCUGCCUUUACACUAUAUAAUAUGAACUAUUGUCAAAAGUGUCUUUGAGAUGCCUUAUGGGGCAUUUAUUAAAUUUAUUGCAUUUAUGGAAAAUAGAGCCUGGUGAAUACAGAACAAAUAUAACUUAUUUUUGUGUUCUUAAGCAAAACAGCUUAGCAGUACUUUCAGAAACUUUCUUACGCUCCUCAUUCCACCACAGGUUUCAUCUCGAAAGGCUUCUGGCCUUCCUUCCCGAUUUCCCCCACAGGCAAGACUCUUCUAAGAGAACUCCUUAAAAAUUACUAUUAUUACUAUUAUUUUUAAUAAUUUCAAUUUUCAAUUUUUCUUUGCUUACAGUAGCCUUAAAAUAGCAAAUACCAUAAGGAGUAAAGAUAAAGACUUUGGAAGAAGGAAAGAUGCUUUAUGUCUCAUACCAAUCACACUGCGUCUCAUACAAUUUUUUAAGUGUACUAUUUACUAAAAUUUAGUUCACUAAUUUCAAAACAAAUUCCAAAAAAUGUUAUUUUUAAAUAACCAGUGAAGUUCACUAUUUCAAGGGAAACAUCGCCUAGCAGCCUACCUCUAUUUCUUACCCAAUUUGUCUUUAUACAUCUAUAGCAUAAUCUAUAUAUUUAUGGAUGAGGUCAGCUUAAAGUAAGGUAAAUGUAUAUUCUGAUUCAGCAGUUAUUGAAAUUAAAUUCCACUAAACAAAGCACCUUUUUACCUGAUGCACACUUUAUUAUGUAUUUAAACAUAGGCAAAUCAUUAAGUUAAUUAUAUUAUCUUAAAUUUAAAUCACUGAACUUAUCUGUAUUUUGAUUUAAUUAAAUUAAUUAAUUUAGUUUUUAUUUUUUAGAGACAAGAUCUCACUCUGUUACCUAGGCUGGAGUGCGGUGGCACAAUCAUGGCUCACUACAGCCUAGACCAACUGGGCUCAAGUGAUCCUUCCACCUCAGCCCUCAAAGUAUCUGGGAAUACAGGCACAUGCCACCAGGCCUGGCUAAUUUUUAAUUUUUUUAUUUUUGGUAGAGAUGGGGUCUUGCUUUGUAGCUGAGGCUGGUCUUAAACUUCUAGCCUCAAACAAUCUUCCUGCCUGGGCCUCCCAAAGUACUGGGAUUACAGGUGUGAGCCACCCUGCUCGACUUGAUUUAACUUUAGAGAUUAAAGGGAACUUCGAGAUUGUCUAGUCUAAAAUGUUUUAGAGAUAGUUUGCCCCUUACUAUUCCAUGUAGUAAAGAAAAUGAUGCCAAAUAUAUGCUACAUUGAAUAUAGAAAAAUAUUAUAAAAUAAUGUAUAUACAAGUCAUGUAAAUGUUAUAAGAUUAUAUAUAUUAAGCAAAAAAUUAAAGCUGAAUCAUGCACUGUAGACAUUUAACAAGUUUGACAUUAGGAACCUUAAAAUGGGUACUUUUUGGUUUUCAAGCAUGAGGUGUAUCUUUUAAAGAUAUCUCUGUGUCCAAAGAGAAGAGAUGAUGACACUAUAGACCUAUACUAACGUAAGAAAUUGUUGAGUUGUUAUAUUGAGCUUUUACUUUAAUUUCUGUAUUUUACCAUUAGCAAGGUUGAAUAAUUUUUUGGCUUAAGUUUAUAUUUCCUUUUUUAAAAUUUCCUGUUUGUAUCUGUGAUGCUUCAUUUUAUGUGUCAACUGAUGAGGCAAUGGUACCCAGUUAUGAGGGCAAACACCAGUCUAGAUGUUGCUGUGAGGGUAUUUGUAAGAUGAAAUUGACAUUUAAAUACACAGAAUUUGAGCAAAGUUGAUUACCUUCCAUAAUGUGGGUGGACUUCAAUCUCUUGAAAAGGCCCUUUAUAGAAAACCCUGAGGUUUUCCAAAGAAGGGGUGAUUCUGCUUCAAAACUGCAACCCUGUCUGAGUUUCCAGCCUGCAAACACCAGAUUCAAAGCUGCUUCAGAACUGCAACCCUACCUGAGUUUCCAGCCCGCAAACACCAGAUUCAAAGCUGCAGCAUCAACUCCUCCCUGAGUCUUCAGCCUGACAGGCUGCUCUACAGAUUUCAGAUUUGCCAGCCCCUACAAUUCUGUGAAUCAGUUCCUUAAAAUAAACAUUUCUCUCUAUAUUUAUGCAAAUGGAUAAAUGAUGGAUAGCUGUAGAUUUCACUACAUAGAUAUAGAUAUAUAGAUCAAGGAGAUCUCCUAUUGGUUCAAUAAAUCUAUUGGUUUUGUUUCUUUGAAGAGCCCUAAACAGUAUUUUUGCUUACUUUUUAAAAUUAGUAUAUUCACCUAUUUCUUACUGAGAAAAUUUACUUAAUAAAAUGAUUAGCCCUUUAAAUGUCUCAUGAUGCUAGUAUUUUUCUCAUCGUUUGUGGUUUGCUUUUUUGUUUUCCAACAAUAGAAGUGUUUACAUUUUUAGAAAGCAUUUAUUUCUUUGAAUUUGUUCCUGUACAGCUAUUCCCCGUUACAAGAUACAGACAUAUUCCUCUGUAUAUUUCCUUCUAAGUAUUGUUUUAUUUGUUACAUAUAAUUUAGUAAUCUGUGGAAUUUACUUUGAUAUAUGAUAGAAGAUAAAAAUGUAUACUUUUACUUACAUAGUUUAUCAAUUGUUUCACCACCAUUAAAAAACAACUUACAGAUUUGAAACGGUUAUUUUAGCUAGGGCUGCCAAAUUUAGCUAAUAAAAAGAAA